rnacentral:rRNA from 1 species
GUGUGACUGCGUACCUUUUGUAUAAUGGGUCAGCGACUUAUAUUCUGUAGCAAGGUUAACCGUAUUGGGGAGCCGCAGGGAAACCGAGUCUUAACUGGGCGUUAAGUUGCAGGGUAUAGACCCGAAACCCGGUGAUCUAGCCAUGGGCAGGUUGAAGGUUGGGUAACACUAACUGGAGGACCGAACCGACUAAUGUUGAAAAAUUAGCGGAUGACUUGUGGCUGGGGGCGAAAGGCCAAUCAAACCGGGAGAUAGCUGGUUCUCCCCGAAAGCUAUUUAGGU